CCACGGGGCCAAUGAGCGGGCGGCGGGCCGCCGCCUCGCGCCGCGGCCGUUGCGGCGGGGCGGAGCCGUUGCGGGGUGCUCGCAGCCAAAAUACUGUUGACAUGAAUUUGUUAGUGUCGGAGUACCAGAAGGGUUCUUUGUUUCGAAUGGAGUAAUUUUCAAUUCUUUGAAGUAUCUCUCUGGAUUGUGCAUGAAUCUCUUGCCAAGUGCAAAGAUCAUUUGACUGUGAAGAAAAGAUCAUUAAAAAAUGCUGUCCUAGGCUUUGGCUGGAUCAGAAGACAUUCAGAAGGAGCAAUGCGGUUUGGGUGCUGCCGCUCAGGAAUAUGUCUACUCAUGUAACUCCUUCUGUCAUGCAGAAAAAGUGUAUUGUGGGUUCCCUCUACGGCAACAUAAAAGGAUCUGUUAGGGUAUAUAUUUGUGUGCAAACAUUAUUUCUCACUUCAUGGGUUUGUUGGUGAAUCUGGCAUGCAAGAUGGAUGUUAUUGCAAGGCAAGCUUUUAUAGAUCAGAGGCUUCAUCGUCUGUAAAUAGUUUUUAAAGUGACUUCUACUGAAAGAACUUCUUACAAAUAUGUUUAAACAGUUUACUCAGCUGAAACAGACUGAAUGUAGAUCUAAAUGUAUUCUGAAUUGUUUUACAUAAAAUUUGCAUGCAGUUCUUUAUUUCAGCUUGUCUUGGCAGAAGUCGUAAGUAGUUGAAGAAAAGCAUACGUUCAUUACCAUACCCAUGAAGUUGAUAUUUACUGAAAAUAGUAAGUGCUGUCCUGUACAACUAGUAGACUCUUUAAGGAGAAGCAAGUUAAAUAGUUCUUCAGCAUUGUGUCUGAACUAAGUCUCCAAAGGUAUACAGGUAAAAUUUAAAACUACCGAUAUCUUACAGGUCAGUAAAUAUGCUCAAGGUUAUAUGUCAUUCCUUAUAUGCAAAUGUUUCAAGUGUCGUUGCUUGAAA